GAUGAACGCUGGCGGCGUGCCUAAUACAUGCAAGUCGAGCGAACAGACGAGGAGCUUGCUCCUCUGACGUUAGCGGCUGACGUGUGAGUAACACGUGUAUAACCUACCUAUAAGACUGGGAUAACUUCGGGAAACCGGAGCUAAUACCGGAUAAUAUAUUGAACCGCAUGGUUCAAUAGUGAAAUACGGUUUUGCUGUCACUUAUAGAUGGAUCCGCGCCGCAUUAGCUAGUUGGUAAGGUAACGGCUUACCAAGGCAACGAUGCGUAUCCGACCUGAGAGGGUGAUCGGACACACUGGAACUGAGAAAGGGACCAGACGACUACGGGAGGAAGCAGUAGGCAAUCUUCCGCAAUGGGAGAAAGCAUGACGGAGAAAGGCCGAGUGAGUGAUGAAGGUCUUAGGAUCGUAAAAAUCUGUUAUUAGGGAAGAAAAAAUGUGUAAGUAACUAUGCACGUCUUGACGGUACCUAAUCAGAAAGCAACGGCUAACUACGUG
rnacentral:rRNA from 1 species